GUAUUCACUUCAGCAGCACAUAUACUAACAUUGGAAUGAUACAGAGGGUAUUAGCAUGGCCCCUGCACAAGGAUGACACACAAAUUCGUGAAGUGUUCCAUAUUUUU
rnacentral:snRNA from 1 species